GCUUACGGCCAUACCACCCUGAGAACGCCCGAUCUCGUCUGAUCUCGGAAGCUAAGCAGGGUCGGGCCUGGUUAGUACUUGAAUGGGAGACCGCCCGGGAAUACCCGGUGCUGUAAGCU
rnacentral:rRNA from 1 species